rnacentral:misc_RNA from 1 species
GCACACGAGUCCUGAAGACAUCAUCAAUUCGGCAAAACGAGCGGAGUCAACCCCUUCUUCUUUAUUUUUCUCGAAGUCAAUGCCCUGACGUCUAAGCAAAUCGAUGGACUCGGGAGAGUGAGCAUCGCGAGACACGUCGAAAUCUCGAAAAUUGAAUUCCCAAAUGAAUCGAUUUGCGGUGCCGAGGUCGGGGAGGUUGCCAUUGGAGUCAGAGAGAGUGAGGCCCACCUGGAUGAGAUUCAAAGCGUCGACGUUAGACUUAAGGAUUUUGUAGUGAUCAGAGGGGCGGCGUUGCUGGGAGUAAGGCUUUGUGGGGUCGAGAGAAGGGCGGAAAAUAAGUCCAGGAAAUUCGGUAUCCAUGGAAAUGAAAGGAAAGUCAUCAAUAAGAUCGCGGAUGAGUUGGAAUUCGCAUUCUAAAUUAGCAGACCAGACUUCUCGGAUGAUAAUUGGCUUGGAGUCCAUGCUUGAGUCUUGAAGAAUCAUUCUAAAGAUCAAAAAGAAAAAAGUGAGUGCGUAUGAUGAGAGCAGAGAAGAUUGAAG